CAGUCGGGUAGCAGCCGCUCUCAGAAAACUUGGAGCGCCUCCCCUUA
rfam:Hepatitis C virus subtype 2c isolate HCV-2c/GB/BID-G1293, complete genome